rnacentral:rRNA from 1 species
GAAGGCGUAGCCGAUGCACAGACGGUAGAGAUUCCGUCACCACCAAAAGAGUUAAGCACAGGGACACAUUUGAAGUCUCAGAGCCGGGUGUUGGUUCCGGUAGAGAUCGAGGGAAAUUAGUACCGAAGUCUGGGAUGGAAGAUGGCGAGAAAAGCUGUGUGUAUUUCUGAGGUGCCCGUACCGCAAACCGACACAGGUAGGUAGGAAGAAGAUUCUAAGGCCAACGGGAGAAGGGUUGUUAAGGAACUCGGCAAAUUGACCCCGUAACUUCGGGAGAAGGGGUGCUCCAGAGAUGGAGCCGCAGAGAAUCGGCCCAAGCAACUGUUUACCAAAAACACAGGUUUGUGCUAAAUCGAAAGAUGACGUAUACGAGCUGACGCCUGCCCGGUGCUGGAAGGUUAAAAGGAGAUGUGCAAGCAUUGAAUUGAAGCCCCAGUGAACGGCGGCCGUAACUAUAACGGUCCUAAGGUAGCGAAAUUCCUUGUCAGGUAAGUUCUGACCCGCACGAAAGGCGUAAUGAUUUGGGCACUGUCUCAACAGCCCGCCCGGCGAAAUUGUAGUACCGGUGAAGAUGCCGGUUACCCGCGACAAGACGGAAAGACCCCAUGGAGCUUUACUGUAGCCUAAUAUUGGGUUUCGAUGUUGCAUGCACAGGAUAGAUGGGACACAGGGAAACAAUCGCUUUGGCGGUUGCGGAGUGGCCGUUGGGAUACCAUCCUUGCGAUAUUGGAAUUCUAACCUGCGGCUCUGAAUCGAGUCGGGGGGCAUUGUUAGGUGGGCAGUUUGACUGGGGCGGUCGCCCCCUAAAAAGUAACGGAGGCGUUCAAAGGUUCGCUCAGCUUGAACGGAAAUCAAGCAAAAGAGUGCAAACGCAGAAGCGAGCCUAACUGCGAGACUGACGGGUCGAGCAGUAACGAAAGUUGGAGUUAGUGAUCCGGUGGUAUGUGAGUGGAAAUGCCAUCGCUCAACGGAUAAAAGUUACCCUGGGGAUAACAGGCUGAUCUCCCCCAAGAGUCCACAUCGACGGGGAGGUUUGGCACCUCGAUGUCGGCUCAUCGCAUCCUGGGGCUGAAUUCGGUCCCAAGGGUUUGGCUGUUCGCCAAUUAAAGCGGUACGCGAGCUGGGUUCAGAACGUCGUGAGACAGUUCGGUCCCUAUCUGUCGUGGGCGCAGGAUAUUUGAAAGGCGCUGUCCCUAGUACGAGAGGACCGGGAUGGACGAACCUCUGGUGCACCAGUUGUCACGCCAGUGGCACAGCUGGGCAGCUAUGUGCGGAUCGGAUAAACGCUGAAAGCAUCUAAGCGUGAAGCCGACCCAAAGAUAAGAUAUCCCACUGAUUUGAUCAGGUAAGACCCCUUGAAGACUACAAGGUUGAUAGGCACGAUGUGUAAGUGGAGUGAUCCAUUCAGCAAGCGUGUACUAAUAGGUCGAGGGCUUGACCAC